GAACGAGAAAGUGUCCUUCGGGGCGCGAGUAAAGUGGCGAACGGGUGAGUAAUGCGUAAAUGACCUACCCUCAUGACGGGGAUAACAGCUCGAAAGAGCUGCUAAUACCGGAUGUGGUCGCGGGAUCGAGGUUUCGCGAUUAAAGAUGGCCUCUGUUUCAAGCUGUCGCAUGGGGAGGGGUUUACGUGCUAUUAGCUAGUUGGUGAGGUAACGGCUCACCAAGGCGAUGAUGGCUAGCCGGCCUGAGAGGGUGUCCGGCCACACUGGGACUGAGACACUGCCCAGACUCCUACGGGAGGCUGCAGUCGAGAAUCUUCCACCAAUGCGCGAAAGCGUGAUGGAGCGACGCCGCGUGUGCGAUGAAGGCCUUCGGGUUGUAAAGCACUGUCAGGUAACUCUAAUCCCGUAGGGUUAAUACCCCUUGCGGUUGAAGGGUUUCCAGAGGAAGCACCGGCUAAAUCCGUGCCAGCAGCCGCGGUAAUACGGAUGGUGCAAGCGUUAUUCGGAAUCACUGGGCAUAAAGAGCACGUAGGCGGCUGCGUAAGUCAGUGGUGAAAUCCCUCGGCUCAACCGAGGAACUGCCAUUGAUACUGCGUGGCUAGAGUGUGGGAGGGGCAGACGGAAUUCCAGGUGGAGCGGUGAAAUGCGUAGAUAUCUGGAGGAACGCCGGAGGCGAAAGCGGUCUGCUGGCCCACGACUGACGCUGAGGUGCGAAAGCUAGGGGGAGCAAACAGGAUUAGAUACCC
rnacentral:rRNA from 1 species